GCCUGGGUGGCUCAGUUGGUUGAGCAUCUGACUUCAGCUCAGGUCAUGAUCUCACAGUUUGUGGGUUUGAGCCCCGCAUCUGGCU
rnacentral:tRNA from 1 species